rnacentral:rRNA from 1 species
AUUGAACGCUGGCGGCAUGCUUUACACAUGCAAGUCGAACGGCAGCGCGGGCUUCGGCCUGGCGGCGAGUGGCGAACGGGUGAGUAAUACAUCGGAACGUGCCCAGUAGUGGGGGAUAGCUCGGCGAAAGCCGGAUUAAUACCGCAUACAACCUGAGGGUGAAAGCGGGGGAUCUUCGGACCUCGCGCUAUUUGAGCGGCCGAUGGCAGAUUAGCUAGUUGGUGGGGUAAAGGCCUACCAAGGCGACGAUCUGUAGCUGGUCUGAGAGGACGACCAGCCACACUGGGACUGAGACACGGCCCAGACUCCUACGGGAGGCAGCAGUGGGGAAUUUUGGACAAUGGGCGAAAGCCUGAUCCAGCAAUGCCGCGUGUGUGAUGAAGGCCUUCGGGUUGUAAAGCACUUUUGGCGGGAACGAAAAGGACUGUGCCAAUACCACGGUUCGAUGACGGUACCCGCAGAAUAAGCACCGGCUAACUACGUG